GUAGGAUAUGGUGACAUGUACCCUGUGACAAUUGGAGGCAAGAUCGUGGGCUCCUUGUGUGCCAUCGCUGGUGUGCUGACAAUUGCCCUGCCCGUACCUGUCAUUGUGUCCAAU
rfam:Myotis lucifugus cont2.31459, whole genome shotgun sequence.